rnacentral:lncRNA from 1 species
CUUCACCAGACUGAAAGGUCUCUAUAUGAAGUGGAUGACGCCGGAAGAGAAGUCAAAGGAGGACAUUGGAAAUGCCAUUGUGCUCGAGCAGUACCUGAGGAUGCUGAAACCAGAGCUGAGGAGCUGGAUAACAGAGCGCAGUCCAACAUCGGCAGACCGGGCUGUGGAGAUGGCGGAGUCGUUUGUUGCUGCUAGACAAGCUGAGGGUGAAUUCCGGUUCGGGAACUACUACGAGCAACGUCGUCAGACUUUUCCCAGUAAGUUUGGGGGUGGAGCUGGUAGUGGUCCUAAGCUGCAGUAUACCAAAGUAGCCACACAGGGUAACUGGCGUGAUGGCAAAAACAGUGAUAAAGUCACAGUAAACAGUAGGCGUCUGGCUGAAGGAUCGUUAAGGUGCUUUAACUGUGACCAGGUUGGCCACAAAGCAAAUGUAUGCCCCAAGCUUGAGAGUAGCCACAACAGAUUAUGUUACGUUCCUAAAAAAGACACAUGUAGUGAACAACUUGAAAUCAAUUCCGACAGCGUAGUACCUGUAAAAAUAGGUGGGAAAAAAUUCAAAGCCUUAAUAGAUACAGGUGCUAGCCAAACUAUGAUUUCCACAAGAUGUUUACUAGACACAGUGCCAAACUACGCCGGAAAAAUACUGGUAAAAUGUAUACACGGCGAUGAGCAGGUUUACCCAACAGCUGAGGUCAGCAUAGAAAUCAGGGGGCAGGCUUAUAUCCUAAGAGUAGGGGUUAUGCAGAGCUCACCGUAUGCUGUAAUUCUAGGUAGAGACAUACCAAUUUUGGUGGACCUCCUAGCGGAGCAACAAAAUAGAGCAGAUGUGCUGGUAGCAACUAGGCUACAAACUAAACAAGGAAAAGCUCAGGAAGAAGCAAAAUCUUUGCUUAAAGAAAUGCCAUGUAGUGAAGUGGUAAGGACCAAGAAAACUAAACAACAAAAAAGACAGGACAAAGUAAAAGGCACAGUACUGGUCGAAAAUCUAGAAUGUCCAAUUACCGGAACCGAAAUUUUACCCAGCAAUAUAGCACAACUUCAGGGCCAGGACGAGUCACUUAAACCCCUGUUUGCAAAAUGUACAAACAAUAGUACAACAGGUAAAACUGACAGUGGUCUUCUUGUAAAAGAAAACAUUCUUUACAGGGUAAAAGGUGAUUAUGAACAACUAGUGGUCCCAAAAACUCUGAGGCAGCAAGUAAUUAAAUUGGCACAUUCAGAACCAUGGGCAGGUCAUUUAGGACAUGCAAAAACCCUAAGCCGAAUUGCGCGCAGGUUUUACUGGCCUAGUCAACAUCAGGAUGUAGCAGAGUAUUGCAAAACGUGCCCCGAAUGUCAA